GAGGAGGAGGAGGAGGAGGAGGAGGAAGAGGAGGAGCGUCCAUGGCCAGCCCCGCGUGCCGGGAGCGCUGUUGACGCGUCCCUUGUCUCCCAGAUUUACACUCUUAUCUUUUUGCAUUGAAAGCGCUCACAGGUGAAGAGCUCCGGAGACUUCACUGCCAUGAGGAUGCUGAACGUGGGCACUUGAGCUAAAAUGAGGAGGCAAACAGGCUUCUGGCCAAAAACAUCCAUCCCUGGCAUGGCUUUCUGCUGGAUCUGCAGUUUGUCACAGCUCUCCCGCAGAGAUGAAGCCACACAAAGACCUGGCUCCCCCGGGGGAAGCGAUGGGGGAAAAUCCCCACGGCGUGGCCGUGCGGGGAUGGGAUGGAUGGAGUUCUACAGCCGCCCUCCAACCACCCCACAACCAUCCUACGAUCGUCCUCAAACCAUCCUGGAGAACGUGAGGAGCCAACCCCACGUGGGAUUGCUUCUCCAUCCCUCUCCUUGAGCGCCGUUCCCACACGGAGCCUCCUGGGCGGCCGCCGGGGACGGCACCGGCACCCUCUGGACGUGGCCCCGGCCCCCGGGAGGGCUCGGGGGAUUCUCCCGGUGGGAUUCAGCUGCUGACGGAUCGAAGGGCGCGUUUUCCCCAGGAACAAUCCCGGAGGAGGUGGGAGAGCAGAACCAUUACGGAGGAGGAUGAACUUGGCUCAGUCGCCAUGGAAACGCUGGCCGGGCCCGGCACCGCUCGCGUGUGCACGAGGCCCGUUGACCUCACUUAGAAUUAUUACCUUUAGCCAAAUAAAAUAAUUUGUGUUAAUAAAGAGACCAUUUUCUCUCGGC